CCUACGGGGGGCAGCAGUAGGGAAUCUUCCACAAUGGGCGAAAGCCUGAUGGAGCAACGCCGCGUGGGUGAAGAAGGUCUUCGGAUCGUAAAACCCUGUUGUUAGAGAAGAAAGUGCGUGAGAGUAACUGUUCACGUUUCGACGGUAUCUAACCAGAACGCCACGGCUAACUACGUGCCAGCAGCCGCGGUAAUACGUAGGUGGCAAGCGUUAUCCGGAUUUAUUGGGCGUAAAGGGAACGAAGGCGGUCUUUUAAGUCUGAUGUGAAAGGCUUCGGCUUAACCGGAGUAGUGCAUUGGAAACUGGGAGACUUGAGUGCAGAAGAGGAGAGUGGAACUCCAUGUGUAGCGGUGAAAUGCGUAGAUAUAUGGAAGAACACCAGUGGCGAAAGCGGCUCUCUGGUCUGUAACUGACGCUGAGGUUCGAAAGCGUGGGUAGCAAACAGGAUUAGAUACCCGAGUAGUC
rnacentral:rRNA from 1 species